ACUUAUAUAUAUUUUCACAUAUAGACAUUUUAAAUAGGUAAAAAUAUACCGUGCUUAUUUGAAUUAAGAAUCAUUUUUAAUAAACUAUCCAAUCUUAUGAAAUGUUGAUUUUACUAUCAACUUUUAAUAUGUUUGACUUAAGUCAGUCAACAGCAUUUUAAUUUCAAAAUUUAAAAUAAUUGUUUAAACUAAUAAAUUUAUAGUUGUAAGAAUUGCAUGAACCAUACUAACUAAACUAAUAAAACAAAUGACUCAUUCAAAAUUUGAAGUUAAAAUACCAUUGAUUGACUCAAAUCAAACAAAUUAAAAAGUUGGACAGUGAAAUCAAAAUUUUAAAAGGUCGAACAGUUGAUUCAAAAUAGUUCAAAGUUUAGAUAGGUUGAUACACAUAUUUUUUGCCUAGGCGGUGUACAAGAUCUAAUCAUACAACCGGUGCACCCAAUAAUUUCUCUACUUUUGUGGGGCCCAAAAUCUAAAUAAAUCUAGGGUAAACUACCCACGUGGUUUCACAGUUUUCUCUCGUUAGCAUCCGGUGGUUUAAAAUAUAUCAAAUUAACCCCUGUAGUUUCGCACUUUCUCACUUUAGUAUCUUGUGAUUUAAAGUGUAUCAAGUUAGUACCAUGUGGUUUUAUUUUUUUUUUUUUAUUAUCUAUUUUACUAAUUUUCUUCAUAAAAUCAGUGACAAAGUUAAAAUUAAAGGAUACUAAAGUGAAUAUUUAACAAAGUAUAAUUUAAGGGUAUCUGAAGUUUUUUUGUAUCUAAUUUAACGAAAUAUUAACGGAGGAAAAAAGAAAUCAGUAACAAAGUUAAAACUAAAGGGUACUAAAGUAAGUAUUUAACAAACCUAAGUAGGAUAUCUAAAAUUUUUUGUAUAUAAUUUAAUAAAAUAUUAACAGAAGAGCCGACGAAAAGAGAAAAUUAAAAUCACAGAGUACUAAAUUGAUACACUUUAAACCACAUGGUAGUAAAGUGAGAAAGUGCUAAAUCAUACAGUACUAAAUUGAUACACGUUAAAUUAAAGAGUACUAAAGUGAAAAAGUGUGAAACUGUCGUGGUAUUUGAUGUUUUUC
rnacentral:lncRNA from 1 species